UACGUAGGGCGCAAGCGUUGUCCGGAAUUAUUGGGCGUAAAGAGCUCGUAGGCGGCUUGUUGCGUCGACUGUGAAAACCCGCGGCUUAACCGCGGGCUUGCAGUGGGUACGGGCAGACUAGAGUGUGGUAGGGGAGACUGGAAUUCCUGGUGUAGCGGUGAAAUGCGCAGAUAUCAGGAGGAACACCGAUGGCGAAGGCAGGUCUCUGGGCCACUACUGACGCUGAGAAGCGAAAGCAUGGGGAGCGAACAGG
rnacentral:rRNA from 1 species